AGGUUGAACGCUGGCGGAAUGCUUUACACAUGCAAGUCGAACGGCAGCACGGGGGCAACCCUGGUGGCGAGUGGCGAACGGGUGAGUAAUACAUCGGAACGUGCCCAGUCGUGGGGGAUAACUACGCGAAAGCGUAGCUAAUACCGCAUACGAUCUACGGAUGAAAGCGGGGGAUCGCAAGACCUCGCGCGAUUGGAGCGGCCGAUGGCAGAUUAGGUAGUUGGUGGGGUAAAGCUCACCAAGCCGUCGAUCUGUAGCUGGUCUGAGAGGACGACCAGCCACACUGGGACUGAGACACGGCCCAGACUCCUACGGGAGGCAGCAGUGGGGAAUUUUGGACAAUGGGCGCAAGCCUGAUCCAGCCAUUCCGCGUGCAGGAUGAAGGCCUCGGGUUGUAAACGUGUCUUUUGUAACGGAACGAAAAGCCGUUACUUCUAAAUUACAGGAGGUCAUGACGUACGUAAGAAACUAAGCACCGGCUAACUACGUGACCAGACGAGCCG
rnacentral:rRNA from 1 species